UACGAAGGGGGCUAGCGUUGUUCGGAAUUACUGGGCGUAAAGCGCGCGCAGGCGGUUCUUCAAGUCAGUGGUGAAAGCCCGGAGCUCAACUCCGGAACUGCCAUUGAAACUGUAGAACUUGAGGAUGAGAGAGGUGAGUGGAAUUCCCAGUGUAGAGGUGAAAUUCGUAGAUAUUCGCAAGAACACCGGUGGCGAAGGCGGGUCUCUGGGCAGUAACUGACGCUGAGGAGCGAAAGCGUGGGGAGCGAACAGG
rnacentral:rRNA from 1 species